rnacentral:lncRNA from 1 species
AUGUACUUUUCCAAUCAGCUGUUACUAAACAUGACUCCUGCAAAGCUCACAGGAUACAUCGACAUGUUCAGAACAGCGUUACUAUUUCUGCAGGAUGCACCAAUCAGGCGAGUGUGGGGCGGGAGGAAGAGGAGGAGAAGGAGGGGAGGGGCAGCACACAUCCUUCACGCCUCACUCACAACCAGGAAGACAGCCUGCAGAGAUACAGAGCGAGAGAAAACACAGCCGUCUCUCUCUCCCUCUCUCUCGCUUGGCUCACGUAUCCUGACAUUCCAAUCUCCUCGGAGCGAGAACAACAAACGCACUGUCAUCCUCGUGGAGGCGGCCAUCUUUGAGAGCUGUGAGUGUGUGUCUGCCACUCACUAUUAACUAGUUGCUUAUUAACAUGCAUGUUACUAUUGGCUGUUUAUUAAUACUUAGCACAUAUUUAAAGCACAUAUUAAUAUCUUAUUCUGAAUGAUCAUAUUUUAGAUCCCCACACCUAAACUUAACUACCUUACAAACUAUUAAUAAACAGCAAAUUUGGAGUUUAUUGAGGCAGAAGUCAUUAAAAGUAGUUAAUAGUGAGAAUUGGUCCCCAAACUAAAGUGUAACCAUAAUUUAUUAUUUAUUACUAAUCAGUCACUUUAAGCUUACCCCAAGGUAUGGUUUUGUUUGAUUUGGCUUUUUUUUCACCCUUAGUACAGCAAAGCAACCCCCUGCGAAACACACACACACACACACACACACACACAUUUACUUUCUACUAUAAUUGCAUUUUUGAUAAAAUGGCUUACUUGAUAAUACCUUUAACUAUCAAGAGUUUAACAUAUUUAAAUUACCACACACACACACACACACUCCAUAUUUAGCAACAGGCAAUCACUUUAAAAAUAAAAUAAAAAUCAUCUCCUUAACUGUUCUAAUGAUAUGAAACAAAACUGUUUGGGUUUGUUGAAUGUGGCUGCAUGUGACAGGUCUCUCUCUCUCUAUCUCUCCACUCAGCUCUAAAACACAUGCACUGACAGACACUGUAGCAUGUGCUCUUUCAGUAGCAGAUGGCUGGACACAAUCUGUGCCUUUUCUGCAAAAAAUAUCAAUAGACCAAUGAGAGUCUAUGUAAUUAAAGUGGAGUCCAAAAGUCUGAGACCACACUGAAAAUACAGAAUUUUUUAACUUUACGAAGUAAUAUAUAUAUAUAUAUAUAUAUAUAUAUAUGUACUGAGACCACACUAGAAAUAACAGUAAUUUUUUAAACUUUAGUAAUAUAUAUAUAUAUAUAUAUAUAUAUAUAUAUUACAACAUAUGAAGAUAGAUUUAGAUUUUGCACUAGGCUAUUUCUAGAUCAUUAAUAAAAUGAAGCAAAUUUGUGACACUGAUGUCUUUGUGUAGAUGUUCUUGAUUCCGCUGAAGCUCAAGAUGCUCUUUGGAUCAUUCUCAAAUCAUGAUCAUCAGCUUUAGUGCUGCUCUCAUUAAACUCCAGUUAAUUUUCUCACAAUUUAACUUUUCACUCUUGUUAUUAUAAUGAUGAUAUAAUUUUAAAAUCUUUAAAAAAAUCUUAAAUGUGUUAAUCAUUGCUCAAGACCCUAAAAACAACAGGAUGUGAUGAAAUGGCAAGGUGUCCGUCAGGAAGUACAAAAACCAACAAUUAAAAUGAACGACAGAAUGCAGGGCCAGUUAUUGACUUAUGUAAACAAAAAUUAUAUUAUGAAUUUUAAAGCCACUUUUUGUAAUGUCUUUUCAAUGCAUUAAUCUGCAUCAAUAUUGUUCUCAGUAAAUAUUGAUAUAUGUGAUUAACUGUGAUUUCAGUAACAUUUUCACUCGAUUCAAAAAGUUUAUGCAAAAUAGAAGCAUUUUACUUGUGGUCUCAGACUUUGAAGCCCAUGUGUGUGUGUGUGUGUGUGUGUGUGUUUCUGUGCACACAUUGUUCAUGUGUCUGUUUGGAUGUGCUUACGCUGAGUCUUUCCUGUAAUCAACCGUGAACAGUCAUCUCCACACUACCUUUCUGUACUUCCCAUGUGCUUACGCUGAGCUUUCCUGUAAUCAACCAGUGAACAGUCAUCUCCACACACCUUUCUGUAUUCCCUACCCUGUGAAUUUGUUCGAGUGUGUGGACUAACCUUUAGUCAGAGUGGCCGAGAGUCUGAGCUCUCUCUUAUUUCUCAAACAAAAAUGUGUUUUGCCUGAAAGCAAUAACAUGGUGGUUUUGAGUGUGUGUGUGUGUGUGUGGCCGUUAUGUGCUUUUGAUCCACGAACUCCAGACCUCCAUCAGUUUGAUCAGCUUCACUGAGAUUUGCAGAAAAUAUCAGACCAGAAAUGAUUUAUUUUUUCCCUGAAUCACUCUGAUGAAUAUGACAGAGAAACCAGAAUAUCCGAAUGGAAAGUGUAACGAUCAUAUUUGAUUGAAUUCCAUAAUCCACAUAGAAAAACAGAGAUGUGCUGCAAUAGCCAUCAGAUCAUUAGCCCAAAGAGAAAAAGAGAGAGAAAGAGAGUUUGUGUGUGUGUGUGUGUAAGAGAUAAUCCGUCCUGACUGUUUCCUGUAGAAAACAGAUAGGAAAAACAUGAGUUAUUUUUUUCCUGUGCCUGGUCAGGCUAUUAAUACCUCUGAGACACACACACACACACACACACACACACACACACACACACACACACACACACACACACACACACACACACACCUAUUUGUGACACUGAUGUCUUUGUGUAGAUGUUCUUGAUUCCGCUGAAGCUCAAGAUGCUCUUUGGAUCAUUCUCAAAUCAUGAUCAUCAGCUUUAGUGCUGCUCUCAUUAAACUCCAGUUAAUUUUCUCACAAUUUAACUUUUCACUCUUGUUAUUAUAAUGAUGAUAUAAUUUUAAAAUCUUUAAAAAAAAUCUUAAAUGUGUUAAUCAUUGCUCAAGACCCUAAAAACACAGGAUGUGAUGAAAUGGCAAGGUGUCCGUCAGGAAGUACAAAA